UACGUAGGGUGCAAGCGUUGUCCGGAAUUAUUGGGCGUAAAGAGCUCGUAGGCGGCUUGGCAAGUCGGGUGUGAAACCUCCAGGCUUAACCUGGAGACGCCACUCGAUACUGCCAUGGCUAGAGUCCGGUAGGGGACCACGGAAUUCCUGGUGUAGCGGUGAAAUGCGCAGAUAUCAGGAGGAACACCGGUGGCGAAGGCGGUGGUCUGGGCCGGCACUGACGCUGAGGAGCGAAAGCGUGGGUAGCAAACAGG
rnacentral:rRNA from 1 species